rnacentral:rRNA from 1 species
GAUGAACGCUGGCGGCGUGCCUAAUACAUGCAAGUCGAGCGAACGGACGAGAAGCUUGCGUCUCUGAUGUUAGCGGCGGACGGGUGAGUAACACGUGGAUAACCUACCUAUAAGACUGGGAUAACUUCGGGAAACCGGAGCUAAUAACGGAUAAUAUUUUGAACCGCAUGGAUCAAAAGUGAAAGACGGUUUUGCUGUUACUUAUAGAUGGAUCCGCGCUGCAUUAGCUAGUUGGUAAGGUAACGGCUUACCAAGGCAACGAUGCAUAGCCGACCUGAGAGGGUGAUCGGCCACACUGGAACUGAGACACGGUCCAGACUCCUACGGGAGGCAGCAGUAGGGAAUCUUCCGCAAUGGGCGAAAGCCUGACGGAGCAACGCCGCGUGAGUGAUGAAGGUCUUCGGAUCGUAAAACUCUGUUAUUGGGGAAGAACAUAUGUGUAUUUAACUGUGCCCGUCUUGACGGUACCUAAUCAGAAAGCCCCGGCUAACUACGUG